CUUGACAUCCAGCGAACUUGGCAGAGAUGCCUUGGUGCCUUCGGGAACGCUGAGACAGGUGCUGCAUGGCUGUCGUCAGCUCGUGUUGUGAAAUGUUGGGUUAAGUCCGCAACGAGCGCAACCCUUAUCCUUUGUUGCCAGCGAUUCGGUCGGGAACUCAAAGGAGACUGCCGGUGAUAAACCGGAGGAAGGUGGGGAUGACGUCAAGUCAUCAUGGCCCUUACGAGUAGGGCUACACACGUGCUACAAUGGCGCAUACAAAGAGAAGCGACCUCGCGAGAGCAAGCGGACCUCAUAAAGUGCGUCGUAGUCCGGGUCGGAGUCUGCAACUCGACUCCGUGAAGUCGGAAUCGCUAGUAAUCGUGGAUCAGAAUGCCACGGUGAAUACGUUCCCGGGCCUUGUACACACCGCCCGUCACACCAUGGGAGUGGGUUGCAAAAGAAGUAGGUAGCUUAACCUUCGGGAGGGCGCUUACCACUUUGUGAUUCAUGACUGGGGUGAAGUCGUAACAAGGUAGGCGUAGCGAG
rnacentral:rRNA from 1 species